UCAAAGACACAUGCUACUAGUGACUCUGUUUAUAACCAGGAAACAUUUAUAAUGCAUAUCAUAGACGUGUGCCAGUUAAGAUUUUGUUUUCAGAACAAUUCAUUCUGAUUUUCAAACCAAUGCUAAAAGAAAAAUAACAUGGAUUAUUUGACAUAAUGCACAAUACACAGUAGCCCAUCCCAAGAAGAUUAAGUAGCAGGCCAUGUGAUCUCAUUGUUUUCUUAACAAAAAAAAAUUGGCUACUCAUAUCAAAUCAGGAUGAUUCAGCCAGACAGGGAGUGUAGGGUCUAUGAAACAUUUCUACAAACAAUGAUGCACUAUUAAAAUAGGGAAUCAAAUGAAUGAAAAACUACCCAAAAAAAAAAGGGAGAGGGGGGAUAAAGACAAUGUGAUGAAUGGUUUGGCAGAAGUGACCUUCACUUAUACACACUCAAAAUGUCCCAAAGAACAGGUACAUAGCCAAAAGAAACAAAAAAAUUGGGAGUAACAAAACUGAAGUGUAAGCAGUUUUUAAUGACUCAUAAAGAUUAUAUAUUGUAUAAAACCUUU